GGGCGAUUAGCUCAGCUGGUCAGAGCAUCUGCCUUACAAGCAGGUGGUCAUAAGUUCGAAUCUUAUAUCGCCCACCA
rnacentral:tRNA from 1 species